CUGAUGACAAUUGAAUGGAAUGUGCUUCUUUUUGUUUAAAAACAUUAGGCCCAAAUCCAAUUGCCCAAAAUCCAAAUCAAUGAAUCAUUAAUCAAUUCAUGGUCAUUUUCAAAUUUCAAUUUCCCCCAAAUCGUAGAAGGCAAACCUAAGGCGAUUGGGAAAGGCUGAAGCUCUGAUUGAAACCCCAAAGGUGCAAAAUCUUUACCUAAUUCCAUAAAUGGAUAAGUGGCAGCAUUUUAUUCAAGGUCGCAACUACCGUCAUUUGAUGUUAGAAGUUGGAUGCAACAAAUAGCCAAUGGCGCAUGAGCACCCAGGAGUGACUUGCAAGUUAUACUAGGGGUCGGAGGAGAAACCCAACGUUAAUUUUUAUCCUGAUUCUGCACCAUCACGUGAAAGCCGAAGUCAGAAGGGAACAUCAACUCGCGCUAUGUCCCAAGAUGAGCAAGCUGGCCAACAAGGAGACGCCAUACCUGCACAAAUUGAUCUUAAGGCAUAUUAGGAUGAUGUGAUUAUAUUUUCUAUGCUUCUUAACAUUCAUUUUGUUUGACUAUUCUAGGAUUUUGAUACUAAAUAUUUGAUGUAUGAUUUGUUGCAAGCUUAGCUGGGAAAAUACUUUCGAGAAUUUUGCCUACGCUUUUCUUGAAAAUUGUACACGAGGAAAUUUCGUAUCCAAGGUUGGAGGAAAUGCUUUUGCUAAUUUAAUUUACACGGCUUAUCUUCCUGAAGGAAUCUCAAAACCUUGAGAAGAUCCUAGCCAAAAAGAGCGUAAAAAAUUUAUCAGGUGACUAAUCACAAAAACAAUAUCAAUUAUAAGCUUUCAUAGGACAUUGUUUAUCUUUCUGUGGUGAAGAUGUGGUUAUUUCUUUAGUUACUUAUAUGAGACUUUUUGUUAAUUCACCUGCCAUGUCUCACCAGUCACCAGGUAAUAUUUAAUUAAGAUUUGCUGUGUCACUCCGACCAGGCAUUUUCUUCUUUCUUUAAUGUCUAUCAUGUCGGCUUUCUGUUCAGUCAAAUCCUAAGUUCAACUCUUGAAUCUGUAUAUUCUAUGAAAGGUCUCCAUUAUGAGGCUACUGAAUUCUUGAGUUGUUUCCAUGGACGAGUGCAAGUUUUGUAGGACUAAAUCUUCAGUGGGACGGGCGCACCAUACUGAGGUGCCACCUCGGUGGGUGGUCCACACACCUCGGGGGUGUGUGGUGGGUUACCAGCUGAAGUGACAUACCAUGUAUCAUGGCAGUCACACUGCCAUGUGGUGCGACCGCCCAACUGAAGUUUCUCUCGUUUUAUAGGAUGGUAAACUGGAUUGCAAAAGAAGAAGUCCAAUUCCUUAUAAACCCACAAACUACACCUCCGAUUUGUUUUGUUUUAUUUUAUUUUAUAUGUAAAUUUCACGCCAAAAAAUAAUAUCAAUUUCAUUUUUCUUCAAGCUUGCUAUAGCUAAAGUUCACAAGUAAAUAAUGACCUAUAUAUGUUAGUCUCCUUUUAUCUUCCAUUUACUGUAGUUUUUUUAUUUUCAUGUUCAAUUUCUUGAAUAUUAUUUCAUAGGAAUGAUCUGUAAAGGAAUUACUGAAUUGUUGGAUUUGUCAAAGUUCAAAUGAAACCAAAGAACUAUUUUGUUA